CAGUCCUCAGUGCUUUAUCUGACUGCUAAAUAAGAAGUUUCAAAUCACUGUGUCAGUAAAAAGGAAAAGCAAAAUAUUUUCUUAUUGCACUGUCAGAUUUUAAGUCCCUGGCAGGUAGGCAGUGUAGGUCCAUCAUGGCUGGACAGAUACAUUCUACAGUGCUCAGAAUCCAAAAAGCAUUUUUUCUAUGGCUUUGCUGACUUCUUUGCCCCGUUCCCACUGACGUCAUAGCAGUACACCAAGGUUAGCUUUGAAGAACCUGUCUGUGAGGAAAAGAGCAAUCCCACUGAGGCUGGGCUGCAAGCUGCAUAAAUUGACAAACACACACAGACCCCAACUGGCUGAGGAUUUAUGCCAGUCAGAGAUGUGGCACACAGUUGCUUGUCCCUAUUUAUAAAUAUGCUGUUCCCUCCCGAAGGAAAGAGCUGAGCAAAGGACACAGGCAGGCAGUUUCUUGCAAGUGUCACAGAAAAAAAUGAAGAACUGUGAAGUGUUUCUGGGAGCAAGAACAAUACUAGGUUCUGAAAGCUUUCACCAUUCCAUAUGCAGACAGUGCUCGGGGACCCUGGGCAGAAGGUGCAUUCAGUUGCAAGACCAGCUUCGCUGAUGGCAAAACAUGAGCCGAUGGUGGACUGUGGCAAGGGAAGAAGCAGAGAUGAGGCAGUAUUGAAGGCAACCCCAAGGAGUCAGCAGUUAUCCCGGUGGCAAUGUGGAAGCCAGAAGAGACAACUGGAUAGAGUGAUCAUUUUGAGAGGCAAGGAGUAAAAUUGUGCCCGAGGGACAGAGACGCACCGUCACUGCCCAGAACCGGGAUUUAAAAUAGCAUUGCUACAUACUCAUGCUAUCUUUCAUGAGAAAAACACUGGUACUAUUUAAGAAGGAAUAUCACUACAGCUUUCUGAUGUAAAUCUUAGAAAAAACAAACAUCCAUACUGCCUUCAGAGGCUUUUUCCCUUUCCAUUCAACGCAGGGCUGUGAUCCUUGCAGCCCUUUCAGCUAUUUGCAUUUUGGCUGAUGGCAAACAUCUCACUGCUGGAGGAGGGAGGAGGAGCGGACAUAAAGGCUGCAUUCUGCCACACUGUCUUGGGGUCAGAAGUGCAUGCUUUCAAGGUGGAGAGCAUAACACAUAGUUUGACUAGUAAUGUUAAGUGUCUGUCAUUAAGGGUAACAUGCCAAUUCUAUAAUUAAAUCGUGAUACUGUAUAAUACAGAAGGUUACACUGCAUGAGUAGAGACAGCUGUCAAGUCCUGUGCCGUUUAUUAAUACAUACGGCAUGCACAGCAUGUGUGUCUCUAACUACUAGCUGGCUCUACCUUCAUAAAUUAUAUUUGCCACUGUUUCUGAUAUUGGAUAGCUUCAAAAAGUAAACGCCAUCCGCUUAUUUGAAAACUGGAACUGCAGUAGGAAAGUUUCAUGUGUGCUGAGCUAGCUGACUUAAAAGAAUAUUCCUUUAGCAUUUCCAAAAGGUUGAUGCACAGAAAAGCAAAAACACUCUAUCCUAAUCUGAGCUCUGUCACAGAGGCAUGAAGUGGCCUUCAGGCCAGUAAUUAAGCUCUCAGUUUCUCUGCACAAGAGAUAGAUGAGACCUUGCAGAGCUGAAUGCAGGACAAACUAGUGAGCAAAUGCUUGCUCACUGCGCUGGGGAUGCAAAGUGACAAACAGAACUUCAUAUCGAUAAGUUUUGAUUAGCUGAUGUUACAAGAAGCUGGGAAGAGCAGGCACCAGAAGCGUGGCACGCCAGUACCAAGCCAUCAGUGUCACUUGACACUUUAGUGAGAGUUUUCUACUGCAAGAGGAACCACCUGCAAAUGUCUUUGUUUUAUAAUUCCUGUCAUAAAAGGGUACGAGGCAGGCAGGAAGGUUGCUACUCUAUGCUUUCCCAGACAUGGUGCCUGACAGGACUACUUCUCCCACCUUUUUAACAGUUUAACUUGCAGCUAAGUGCUCCCCUCCUUCUCUCCUCUUCCUGGGGAGGACAUUCUCAUUCAAUUGAAAGAUCAGACGUUGGCUAAUGCUGUAAGAUUGCUGCUCCUGUAAGAUUAAUGUCAGAUUGUCCACAAAGGGCCACCACCGAAAGGCCCUUUUCCUCCUUCAAUACCCUGGUGCUACUAGAGCAGGCAGUCUCCAGAUUUCAUGCCCUUGAUCUUUGUGCAGGACACCUGAGUAAGCCCUGCUCCAUGGGCCUGUGCAAGCACCCAGGUUUCCGUGACUUAUUGCAGAUCAAGCUCCCAGUGAAAUUAAUGGGAUGCUUGCUCCUGACUUCAGUGGUAGCUGAGUCAACUGCUUAGAAGAGGAAACAUGGACAGCUCAGAGCAGUUCCUGGCUCCGGUCCACUGGAGCACUUCUGUGUGUUUAACUUAACAGUCCCCCUCCAGCUGGUGCCCCACAGCAUGUCUUGACUAAGCAAGGUCAAGAUCCGCAGUUUCCUGGCUUGCACCACUGCCCACGUGCACCUGAAGACAUCACCUCUUCCCUCCCUUGUGCUGACACAAAUGCUACCAGCACCUUGUAAUUAACAAAGGUGUUUGGCAGUACUCAAGUACGGCCGAGUAAAGAUGCUCAUGCAUCUGUAGAAAGACAGUUACGCCUUGGCUGACCUACCUUUAACGGAAGCUGAAUAUGUGGAAAUGAUGCAAAGGAACAGCACGGUAAGAACAAUCAUGCUGGACUGCCCCGAGCUCCUGACUGCAGCAUGAAGUGCAAAAGCCUCCAAGAAAGAAGAGAGCCUCCAAGAAGCGAACUGCUGACAAUGGAGCAGCGCUUGCAGAGGGAGCUGCCGCGCCAGCCACCGUGUUUAUCUAGAUGUAGUAAAGGUCAGAUUCCAAAUUCCACACUCAGGUACUAAGUUCAUGGAAGGACUUCCAGUUAAUUAUUAAGAACCAGGGUAACUAGGGGUUUUUACCCAUUUUAUUGAUUACUUCAGCUUUCAUUUUUGAAUGCCCAUGCAGCCACAUUGAUGAGCAGUGGAGGUGGCCUCCAGACCUGGCAGAAGCAGGAGCUCCCUCCACUCCUCCUCUGCUUUAACAAAGGUGUGCUGCUGCCAGGGGCUGAAUUCUUACUACUGUUCUCCAACUUCAUGUAUCAACCCUAUGGGCAAGCCUAGAAGCAGGUGCUUUGUAAGGGUCUGGGAGCAGAAGUACAAGGGAUUUAUCAGUACCAUAAAAAAAAAAAGGAAAUGGUGCUCUGUUACAGAGACUGAUGUGCAAUAUCAGUUCCUUGGCUUGUACAAAAGGAACUCUCUUUCUUUUAGCAUCCCCUAUAUUACUUCAUUGCAGCAGCAGAUUAGAGACUGAAAAGAUGAAACAAGCCAGCCACUCUGUCUUCAUCCUGAACAGGGCAAGCCAGGCCCUUCCUUUUCCACCCAUAUUUUCCCCUUUCCUCUUGUUUGGUUUAUCUCUCAAUAAGCUCUCACCUGACUAAAGCACACGUUUCCCCAUUUCCUCUGAGAGCAAACCCCAGCCCAUCCCACAGUCAGCCCCGCUGCCAGAGGGCUCAUUAAGGAAACCCUUGUCCCUCGGACAACUGCGUGGCAGCGUGCUAACCCCACGCAUUCCUCAGAACACCUCAUACACCAAAAUCUGUGCCAAGACACUCUCUCCCCCAGCCAACAAAGCCCACUUCUUUCUGCACUGGGAGGAAUCUGCUCCUACAUGUUUAAGAAGGGACAAGGUAGGGAUAAGAGCGAUAGAUGCCGACCAGCCAUCACCAUGCUCUCCUUCUCUAUUUCAGAGGUUAUUUUAGCAAGAGAUUUUUAUUUUAUUCUCCAGCAAGCUAGAUCCUGUAAAUAGCUCCCUGCCACAAAAUGACUUCCCCACUAUAGGCUGGAGUGCUACUUGCAUUGUCAUUACAUUACAGCCUUAGGACUUUUGGCUAACUGCUAGCUACAAAUAUCCCAACUAAAGCAGUGCUGCCCCAGGCUGUAUUUAAUUGCUAGCAAUACCACUUCUGUAAUCAGGUCUUCUGUAUGAGUGAAGGACCGUUAGGUGAGAACAGACUUGGAUAGCAUAAAUGCCUUCUUCAUUGCCUUGUGCUGACAGAGAAGCCGGGUACAGUGGCUGCAAAUGUAGGGAGGGAUUAAUAGAAGCAAGCCUUGCUCCAGCUGCUCCCCGGUUUAUUAGGUACUCUGCUUCCACAACUCAGGCUGCAAGAUGCUCCUGAACUGAAGGGACCGCAGGCACAGCUUCAUGUAUACACCAGUGAAGAUAUCUGAACAGAGCCUAGAGCACACACGGACCAGAUGGGGUCUCCAGGAGACACUUCCAGUCUCUCUGGAUGCCCCAGGAGACAGAUCUUCCCUGUUUAUUUGCAUAUAUCCCUGACUCCCUAAGCCAAGUCCUUCUCCCAGUCUGCAGAAGGAAACGUUAUCAGGACAUACUCUUUCAUGUUGUUGUUUCCUUGUGUCCUGUCCUAAGCUCUACACUUACAUUUUCUGUGCACUGUUUUGCUGCAUGUAAGAGUCAGGUAACUGUGUGUGUGUGUGUGUGUGUUUCCGCACUCCAGCUGACCCUUUUGCUUCAUUUGGUAAACAAGAAACUUCUCAAGCUCUCGGUUCAUUUUUAGAAAAAAAUUUAAAAUGACACAAUCAGUGUGCAAAACAACUCUGGCUAGAAAAAGAACAGAACUAUGGAUUCUGCUUUGGAAAUGAGCCUUUACACUUCACUCACUGGGAGGAGGUGAUGUUGGUUGGAAAUCUGGGGAAAAGUAAUCCUCCUCUUACACUCCUGAGACAUAGGAAAUGUGUGUCUUCCCUGAAAUGAAGUUACAAGAACAAAGGCCUCUCUUAGUACCAGAAUGUUAGAGGCCAGAUCCCCUCAUCAUUUACACUGGUGUAGCUGUUUGUACACCAGCCAGUUGUAUGCCUGUUACAGAGCUAAGUAUCUAACCAUCACGCACGUGCAGAGAAACAGCGUUAUGUACUUCCACGUGCGUGUAUAUUUAUCUCUAAAAACCUACAUACAUGCAUUUAAAACACACUUGGUGUAGUCUUACAAUACCUGGGAAAGGGGAGGCCUGAGCCUCUCCUCAGCUAUGCCGGGCUAAAUCAGCAGUGACUUCCUUAACAUCAAAUGACACCCACAAAAAAGGUCUUGCACCCACCAAAGUCCACUACAGGCAGAGUUGUGGGAUCAGCCCUUUAAUGGACACCUCACGCCAUGCUGGCAUAUGUAUUAGGGUCAAAGUAUUACUGUUGCUGCACAUUUUCCAGAGUCCAAACAAUAAAGCUCAUAUCUUUAUAUGACCUUAUAAAACUAAUGAGAUUUCCUCACAUUUUUCUGGGGUCAAUAAAACAUUUUUGUCUUCCCUUCACAAA